UGGGGAAUAUUGGACAAUGGGGGCAACCCUGAUCCAGCAAUGCCGCGUGAGUGAAGAAGGCCUUAGGGUUGUAAAGCUCUUUCGCCCGUGACGAUGAUGACGGUAACGGGAGAAGAAGCCCCGGCUAAUUCCGUGCCAGCAGCCGCGGUAAUACGGAAGGGGCUAGCGUUGUUCGGAUUUACUGGGCGUAAAGCGCAUGUAGGCGGCGGAUCAAGUGGGGCGUGAAAGGCCUGGGCUCAACCUGGGAACUGCGCUUCAGACUGGUUCGCUCGAGUUCGGGAGAGGGUGGUGGAAUUCCCAGUGUAGAGGUGAAAUUCGUAGAUAUUGGGAGGAACACCGGUGGCGAAGGCGGCCACCUGGCCCGAGACUGACGCUCAAGUGCGAAAGCGUGGGGAGCAAACAGG
rnacentral:rRNA from 1 species